GCAUAUCAAUAAGCGGAGGAAAAGAAACCAACAGGGAUUGCCUCAGUAACGGCGAGUGAAGCGGCAAAAGCUCAAAUUUGAAAUCUAGGCACCUUCAGUGUUCGAGUUGUAAUUUGAAGAAGGUAACUUUGGUUUUGGCUCUUGUCUAUGUUCCUUGGAACAGGACGUCACAGAGGGUGAGAAUCCCGUGCGAUGAGAUGCCCAAUUCCAUGUAAAGUGCUUUCGAAGAGUCGAGUUGUUUGGGAAUGCAGCUCUAAGUGGGUGGUAAAUUCCAUCUAAAGCUAAAUAUUGGCGAGAGACCGAUAGCGAACAAGUACAGUGAUGGAAAGAUGAAAAGAACUUUGAAAAGAGAGUGAAAAAGUACGUGAAAUUGUUGAAAGGGAAGGGCUUGAGAUCAGACUUGGUAUUUUGCGUUCCCUUCCUUUUUGGUUGGGUUCCUCGCAGUUUACUGGGCCAGCAUCGGUUUGGAUGGUAGGAUAAUGACAUUGGAAUGUAGCUUUACUUCGGUGAAGUGUUAUAGACUUUGUUGAUACUGCCUAUCUAGACCGAGGACUGCGUCUUUGACUAGGAUGCUGGCGUAAUGAUCUUAAGCCGCCCGUCUUGAAAC
rnacentral:rRNA from 1 species